rnacentral:rRNA from 1 species
UUUACAUUUGAGUGAGUGGCGAACUGGUGAGUAACACGUGGGAAACCUGCCCAGAAGCGGGGGAUAACACCUGGAAACAGAUGCUAAUACCGCAUAACAACUUGGACCGCAUGGUCCGAGUUUGAAAGAUGGCUUCGGCUAUCACUUUUGGAUGGUCCCGCGGCGUAUUAGCUAGAUGGUGAGGUAACGGCUCACCAUGGCAAUGAUACGUAGCCGACCUGAGAGGGUAAUCGGCCACAUUGGGACUGAGACACGGCCCAAACUCCUACGGGAGGCAGCAGUAGGGAAUCUUCCACAAUGGACGAAAGUCUGAUGGAGCAACGCCGCCUGAAUGAAGAAGGGUUUCGGCUCGUAAAACUCUGUUGUUAAAGAAGAACAUAUCUGAGAGUAACUGUUCAGGUAUUGACGGUAUUUAACCAGAAAGCCACGGCUAACUACGUGCCAGCAGCCGCGGUAAUACGUAGGUGGCAAGCGUUGUCCGGAUUUAUUGGGCGUAAAGCGAGCGCAGGCGGUUUUUUAAGUCUGAUGUGAAAGCCUUCGGCUCAACCGAAGAAGUGCAUCGGAAACUGGGAAACUUGAGUGCAGAAGAGGACAGUGGAACUCCAUGUGUAGCGGUGAAAUGCGUAGAUAUAUGGAAGAACACCAGUGGCGAAGGCGGCUGUCUGGUCUGUAACUGACGCUGAGGCUCGAAAGUAUGGGUAGCAAACAGGAUUAGAUACCCUGGUAGUCCAUACCGUAAACGAUGAAUGCUAAGUGUUGGAGGGUUUCCGCCCUUCAGUGCUGCAGCUAACGCAUUAAGCAUUCCGCCUGGGGAGUACGGCCGCAAGGCUGAAACUCAAAGGAAUUGACGGGGGCCCGCACAAGCGGUGGAGCAUGUGGUUUAAUUCGAAGCUACGCGAAGAACCUUACCAGGUCUUGACAUACUAUGCAAAUCUAAAAGAUUAAACGUUCCCUUCGGGGACACUGGAAUACAGGUGGUGCAUGGUUGUCGUCAGCUCGUGUCGUGAGAUGUUGGGUUAAGUCCCGCAACGAGCGCAACCCUUAUUAUCAGUUGCCAGCAUUAAGUUGGGCACUCUGGUGAGACUGCCGGUGACAAACCGGAGGAAGGUGGGGAUGACGUCAAAUCAUCAUGCCCCUUAUGACCUGGGCUACACACGUGCUACAAUGGAUGGUACAACGAGUUGCGAACUCGCGAGAGUAAGCUAAUCUCUUAAAGCCAUUCUCAGUUCGGAUUGUAGGCUGCAACUCGCCUACAUGAAGUCGGAAUCGCUAGUAAUCGCGGAUCAGCAUGCCGCGGUGAAUACGUUCCCGGGCCUUGUACACACCGC